ACGAACGCUGGCGGCGUGCUUAACACAUGCAAGUCGAACGGGCCCGCUCUCUUUUUUGGGGGUGGGUUGAGUGGCGAACGGGUGAGUAUCACGUGAGUAACCUGCCCCCUGCUCCUGGAUAACUGCUUGAAAGGGCGGCUAAUACGGGGUGUGCCGGCUGGUCCGCAUGGGCCUGGUCGGGAUAGUUUCAUCUUCGGGUGUUUCGGUGGGGGAUGGGCUCGCGGCCUAUCAGCUUGUUGGUGGGGUGAUGGCCCACCAAGGCGGUGACGGGUAGCCGGCCUGAGAGGGUGGGCGGCCACACUGGGACUGAGACACGGCCCAGACUCCUGCGGGAGGCAGCAGUGGGGGGUAGUGCACAAUGGGCGGAAGCCUGAUGCAGCGACGGCGCGUGAGGGAUGGAGGCCUUCGGGUGGUGAACCUCUUUCUCCGGUGGUGAAGGCCCUGUCCGUUGCGGCGGGGUUGACGGUAGCCGGGUAUGAAGCGCCGGCUAACUACGUG
rnacentral:rRNA from 1 species